ensembl:lncRNA
GGUAGAGUCCAAAGGGAGAAAACGGAUCUGCCCCUUCAGUCCUGGAGACGUCUCAGUCCCGGGUACGGAAGCAAACGGCCCUCCCCCGCGGGUCCCGCGGUCUCCUCUGCUGCCCCGCACUGGGAGGGGGUGGAGGGCGCACCUGCCCCGGAGUUCCAGACGGCGGUGCCGCGGGCCCGGGAACACCAUCCGGUGACUUCUUCGCCCGUAAAGUGCGUAAGGGGACGGGGUCCUGGCCGGAUCUGUAAACACUCGACUGACACUUGUCCAUCCCUCCGGGCGGGAGCUCCGUCCCGGUCUGGGAGGGUGACGCGGUCCGCGCGUCAUGCCCGGGGCACCGGGAAGCGGCGGAGCCUCACCACGGGUUCCAGGUUCACUCGCAGGAUUUGGCGCGCUCUACGCCGUGCCGCCGCCAGGCUGCGCUCGCUCCACACGUCGCCGCCGACGCGGAUGGUGGGGAAGGUGGUCAGCGUCGGGGUGGCCGCCCUCCAGAUCUCCUCCAGGGUGCGGCCCCCGAAGCAGGGUUCCGGGUCCGCGGGCUUGACCGGGCAGCUCUCCUCGGGGACCGGCGGCGGGGGCGGCGGUGUUUGGCUCCGCGGCGCCGGCCGCUGCUGGCACCUCCCGCCCGGCGCGUCUCUCGCUACUUUUCUCGCCUCCGCCGCCGCUGCCCCUCCCCCUCCGAGGGCGGAGGACGCGGGUGAAGAUCCUGCCGCCCGGUACAAGAUGGCGGCCGGCGCCCACCCCUGGGCUUUGUCAUUGGACGGCGCCUCGCCCCCCUGGUUUCUCUUUCUUCUCCUCUCUUGCCUCCUUUCGCCCUCUGCCUUUCUUUAAAUGUGCCCGCCUUUGGCCCCUCCUACUGCAGCCCCGACUCCACCCAUUGGGUGCUCUCAGAAGAGGGCGGGGACUGAUGGGGGAGAGGCCAGUUCCUGGAAGAUGGUGCUGGGGUGGGUGAUGGUGGCUCUUGGACACGAGUCAACAGUUGGGUAGGUACAUGAGGAAGGUGCCUUGUCUAGAGUGGACAUCAGCUCCACUUUGGGGGGAGUCACUCUACUCUCGGAAUGAGUGGAUGUGCAUUUAUGGAUUGAGCUGGGAGGUCUACCAGUCUGAAUAACAAAGGGAGACCUACCCAAAGGCUGUAGUUUGUAUCACAGAAGGGGAAAUUGGGUGUAAGUCUAGAGGGAAUGGGCCUUCCACAAUUCUCUUCUGAACCUUCAGAGGCCUCUUUUGCAUCUUCAUCCAACUCUUACCCACUUUGACCCCAAUCCAUGUCAAGCAACGCUAGUAAUCCAGAAUCUUUCAGAUAAUACGGACUCUGUCAGUGACAUAGUCUCCUUCUAGACAAUGGAACCAUCUUCGCAUGUAAAAGAUGCUAUGCUUAUCAGGAAAGUAAAGCCUAUAAUACCCAUAGAACUUUGCUCAAGUUGAUCAAAGAUCAAUUACAACAAAGCCAUUGUCCUUACAGAAAAUAUAAUUUUUAAAUAUACAGUUGGUUUUAAAUGAGUGCACUUCACCUUUCAUUUAGUUUUAGUAUGUUCCUUUGCAGUACCAUCUCUAGCGCAGAGAAAGGAUGCAGUUUCGCAAUCAAAAGGUUUCUAUUGAAAAGAACAGGUUGUUAAGACCCCAUCACCUUUUGUAUUGAGAGGAGGGGAUUGAAUGUUAGAGUAAUGCACAGUCUUCUGUCAUCUUUUCCAUCCUCAAUACUUGGUUCAGCAUCUGUCAGACAGUGGGCACUCUAUUUGUGUUGAGGGAACCAAUGAAAAACAUACUGAUGUGAGAANNNNNNNNNNNNNNNNNNNNNNNNNNNNNNNNNNNNNNNNNNNNNNNNNNNNNNNNNNNNNNCUCCAUUAAAGUUUUAAGGUUAAAAAAAAAAAAAAAAAAACCACUCCUAAGAGUUAGAACUGUGAGGUAGACAUGCAAAUUUUACCCCUGAGUGAGCACUUUAUUUUGCUGUAGAAAACUGAUAGAGCAGAGUUUUGUGAUUCACACACAGCUGCUAUUGGUUCCCUCGAAUAUUUGAGCUAAAAGACACCUAGUUCAAUCUCCUUAUUUCAUGGAUGAGGAAAUUUGGAUNNNNNNNNNNNNNNNNNNNNNNNNNNNNNNNNNNNNNNNNNNNNNNNNNNNNNNNNNNNNNNNNNNNNNNNNNNNNNNNNNNNNNNNNNNNNNNNNNNNACACCUAGUUCAAUCUCCUUAUUUCAUGGAUGAGGAAAUUUGGAUCCACAGAGGUUAGGUAAUAAGGCUUCUUGAUUGUAGGAAUAGGACUAUAGUUUAGAUCUUUGGAUUCCUAAUCUUAGUGAUCUUUAUUUUUCAAUAGAGAUUUUACAAAUUGUACUGCUCAGACUCAAAGAGAUUCAAUAGAAAAUGCUUUAUGUAAGAGUGGAGUGACCAAGGAACAGGCUGUUCACCUGAUUCCACUUCUGGCUCCUCCCAGAAUUCAGCAGUUUUUAACCUGUCCAGUAUACUGGACUUAUAGAUUAUAUUUUCUUAGAACCAGAUUUUGUUUAAUUUCAAUAAAAAAUAAAAAUAUUUUGAAAGUUGCUUCUGUGUAGCACAGCAUCUUGUCCAUGCACUGGGUUUAUGCAAAAACCAAGCUUCCUACCAGAGGACCAGUUCUCAACCUACCUAAAUCAUGGUAACUUUCUGAAGAGAAAAUCAGUUUCCUAGAAAAGCAUAUCGUGAUCUCAGAACAAGAUUAUGGAGCCAAUUAUCGGCUUCCUAAGUCCUUAUAAAGAAAUGAUAUUACAACUCUUUACAUCACAAUUAGUUCUGUUGGUAAUUUUGGGAACACAUACUAAUGUGAAAUUUGUGUAACUUCCAAUGGAAUGCCCCUGCAAGACAGACAUAGAAAAUCUCAUAGAGUAAGCCAGCAGAAUGGUAAAGGGACUUCAUAGUGAAAGAAAAAUAAGGAUUUAUGUACUCCUAGCUUCUUGUCUUGAUAUUUCUUCCCUCUCAUGUUAAUCCUGUUUUAAGUACUUAGGGUUCUCAAGUAUGGAAACGCUUAGGGUCAUUUGCUACAUAAAUAUACCAGACAUUUAUACAAACUUACAGAAUUGAUUUCGAUUGAAAGGAUAAAUCUUAUACGACUAUUCUCAUACUAAGGAAACAUAGGUCUCAACAAAUUGUAGAGCAUUCAAAAGUUCAUUUUAUAAUACAUACUUAUUUAAUUUACUUAAACCAAACAACAUCUUUAUGAAAUAUUUUUAGGAAUUAACAUCAUGUCAAAUGCUUAAAUUAUUGUAUAAUUUUAAAUUUGGCAUUGUUUGAUUUCUGUUUCUUAUUUUUACAUUUCUUCCUGCCUCCACCUUUUGAUUAGCUUAAAUAGUCCUACAAAUGGUACUUAUCUAUUCUCCAGAAGUGAGUAAAAUUUACACAUAAUUUCUUUUAGUUCCUGAGACUCUCCUAAGACACUACAAAGUUUUUGGAAAGUUACAAUUAAAUUUAUUUAAUUUUAUUGCAAAUUAAAAUCUUGUUCUUGAGGAAACACUGUUCAAAAUGCUGAGUUUAUUCCUUUACCUCUCAAGGAGAAUGAUGCGUCCAUCCUAUAUCUGAUAG